CUUUAUUAAUUUUUUAUAUAUAAUUUAUAUUAAAUAUAAAAAUAUAUUUUUUAAAUAAAAAGACGAUAAGACCCUAUUAAAUUUUACUUAUAGUUUAACUGGGGAAGUUUUAAAAAUAAAAUUUUUUAUAAAAAUAAAAAUAAAUCUAAUAAAAUUAAAAUUAAAUUAAAUUACUAUAGGGAUAACAGCAUUAUAUUUUUUAAAAGUUCAUAUUAAAAAAAAUGAUUGUGACCUCGAUGUUGAAUUAUAUUUUCUUUAUUAAUGCAAUAAUUAUAAAAGUAGAUCUGUUCGAUCUUUAAAAUAUUACAUGAUUUGAGUUCAAACCGGUGUAAACCAGGUKGGUUUCUAUCUUUUUAUAAAUUCAUAUAUAUAUAUAUGUAUAUAUAUAUAUAUAUAUAUAUAAAUUUUUCAAGUACGAAAGGAAAAAAAAAUUUUUAUUUUAAUUAAUUAGCAAUUAAUAUGCAUUAGAUUUAGAAUCUAAAUAAACUAUU
rnacentral:misc_RNA from 1 species